rnacentral:pre_miRNA from 1 species
AAAGUUCUGUGACACUUCGACUCUGAAUUUGAUAGCAGUCAGUGCACUACAGAACUUUGU